rnacentral:rRNA from 1 species
UACGAAGGGGGGCUAGCGUUGUUCGGAUUUACUGGGCGUAAAGCGCACGUAGGCGGAUCGUUAAGUCGGGGGUGAAAUCCUGGAGCUCAACUCCAGAACUGCCUUCGAUACUGGCGAUCUUGAGUCCGGAAGAGGUGAGUGGAACUCCUAGUGUAGAGGUGGAAUUCGUAGAUAUUAGGAAGAACACCAGUGGCGAAGGCGGCUCACUGGUCCGGUACUGACGCUGAGGUGCGAAAGCGUGGGGAGCGAACAGG